UUUUGAAAUGCCCUCUGACUCAGCAGUCUCUUCUCAGUCCCCAUCCCCACCCCACCCCACCCAUGACAUAGCCAAGACUUCGUCCCUGUCUCCCUAUUCUUCCAUCCUCUUGAAAUGCUCUCUCUCCCGAUCGAAAGACCUCAUAUCGAUUCCGCUCUCUCCAAAUUCAUCUCCUCAGUCCUUCCUCAUUUCAUCGACUUUGAUUUUUGUGAUUUCUUACCCGAUCGAUUUCAUCAGAAGGAAGAGGAGAUAGAGAGAGGUUUUGGAACUGAUUCAGCUUAAGAGGUUGAGUUUCGAAACGAGUGAAAUAGGAAUUCUGUUUGAACUUUUUUUUUUAAUUUUUGUGUAUUACUGGAUAGGUCAGUCUUGGAAUGCCUUUUGCAGUGCUUCUGUUGAAUGAAUAUAACCUAGCACUUGAUAAGUUCCUGAACUGUGAAUUAAAACCAUAUUUGAUUAGAGUUGGAUUGGUGGAGAGGAUGAUAAUUUGGAAAGUUUGAGCUUUUGAGGGAGUUUAUACAUGCUCAUAUAUAGCCAUGGCCACCAUUGUUGACACACAAGGAGAUUGGAUUAGAAGAGUGGAAAAUGUUCAUCAGACCCCAUUAGUUUAGCAAUAUGCUUAAUACAGAAGAAAAUACCAGUUUUCUGUGUUGAUAAGAUAACGUUUUUUUUUGUUGAAUCUAUGCAUCUAUGCUUAAUAUAGAAUAAAAUACAGUGCUUUGUGAUUCAAAUUGUGCUUAAUACAAAUUGUGAAUCUUCUGUCAUGUUAAGUGUCAUAUUUAUGGUACAACCUCUGAGAAUUGUGAGUAAUUAUUUCUAUUAUGAUUUAGCUACAAGAAAUUGUAAUUGCAAUUGUUUCCGUGAUGAUUUGGCUGCAAGAAAUUAUAAUUUAAGGAGCUUGGAGUUAAAUAUUGUUGACAAUAUUGGUGUUGGUGUUGGUACUACUAGUAGCACUAAUGUUCAUAAUAUCGGUGCUGGUACUAGUAGUAGCAGUAAUAAUCCUUUAGAAGGUAAUGAUUUUGAUGACUGUUUUAGGAAUAAUGAGGGAGAUAAAGGCAAUAAGGGUGUGUUUAGUUUACAUGACACACCUACAUAUUGUUUGUUUUAGGUUUGUUAACUUUUAGUUAUUGAAAUUCUAUGGACAUGUAUGAAUUUUUAUUUGAAUUAUGUAUUUUAAGAUGUUUGGAUA